rnacentral:lncRNA from 1 species
ACCCAGAAGAAUGCAGGCGUCGGCCUCCCAGGAAAAGAACCGGAGGAAGCCAGGCCAUAGUGAAGGGGCUCCGUCCGUGCCUGCACCCUCCAGAGGUGACUUUUGUCUCUCCUGCCUGCCUGAGCUCCCCCACCAACUCCCCAGAUAUCUAGACAGGUCUCAGCAUCUCCUCUCACCAAAUCACACACAGGUGCUCACAAUCCUGAGUAUGAGAACAUAGCCUUCAGAAACAGGGACCAGCCCAAACCCAGCCAAUCGACACCCCCACAACAAGUCAAGUUCAAGCCGUCCCCGGACACAGCCCAGGUCCCCCCUUGGUUGCACAGAAGCAUCAUGAUGCUGUAUGUUCUCCUCGCUCUCGUCUUUUUAUUCUGCAUCAUCCUCUCUGCCUUGGCCCUGGUGAAAAUGAGAAUUGGGAACAAGUGUUGAAGAGGCGUGUAUGCAAAUGAAUGCUUUGCAGCACAUGGAGUUUCCAUGUAUUCAAGGAGAAGGUUUGAUGGUGGAAAGAGAACAUGGAAGUUACAGCAGGCAUGACUCUUUAUGGGCCACAGAGGUGUAUGCCCUGGCGUAUAUAGGCAUGUCCUGGUUGGUAGCUGUUCCCAUGAGGUCCCCAAAGUGUGAGUGACGUGUGGGACGUUCCUCCUCAUUAUCUUGACCAUGUCUGUGUGCAACUGGUUUAUUUUGUAUGUGUGUCACUGCAGUGGUGGGUAAGGGACAUCAUCCUGGUGAUGUGUCAUGGCACAGGUCACUCCUAGUGGGCUUGGCCAUGCCAGCUUGUGGGUUCAGAGCAUGUACACAAAUGCAGCCAUCGGUUUCUACACUUGUAUUUAUGAUUCAUGAAGAUAAACGCCAAGGGAAAUG